rnacentral:rRNA from 1 species
GACGAACGCUGGCGGCGUGCUUAACACAUGCAAGUCGAACGGUGAAGCGCCUUCCUUUUUGGUGGGUGUGGAUGAGUGGCGAACGGGUGAGUAACACGUGAGUAACCUGCCCCCUUCUUCUGGAUAACCGCAUGAAAGUGUGGCUAAUACGGGAUAUUCUGGGUCUGUCGCAUGAUGGGUCUGGGAAAGAUAUUGUUUCGGUGGGGGAUGGGCUCGCGGCCUAUCAGCUUGUUGGUGGGGUGAUGGCCUACCAAGGCGGUGACGGGUAGCCGGCCUGAGAGGGUGGCCGGUCACACUGGGACUGAGACACGGCCACGACUCCUACGGGAGGCAGCAGUGGGGAAUAUUGGACAAUGCGCGCAAGCCUGAUGCAGCGACGCCGCGUGAGGGAUGGAGGCCUUCGGGUUGUGAACCUCUUUCGCCAGUGAAGCAGGCCUGCCUCGUUUGUGGGUGGGUUGAUGGUAGCUGGAUAAGAAGCGCCGGCUAACUACGUG